AUUGAACGCUGGCGGCAGGCCUAACACAUGCAAGUCGAGCGAGCGGCGGACGGGUGAGUAAUGUCUGGGAAACUGCCUGAUGGAGGGGGAUAACUACUGGAAACGGUAGCUAAUACCGCAUACCAUCAGAUGUGCCCAGAUGGGAUUAGCAAGUGGGUGGGGUAACGGCUCACCUAGGCGACGAUCCCUAGCUGGUCUGAGAGGAUGACCAGCCAAACUGGACCUGGGACACGGUCCAGACUCCUACGGGAGGCAUCAGUGGGGAAUAUUGCCCAUUGGGCGCAAGCCUGAUGCAGCCAUGCGGCGUGUGUGAAGAAUGCCUUCGGGUUGUAAAGCACUUUCAGCGGGGAGGCGUUACCCGCAGAAGAAGCACCGGCUAACUCCGUGCCAGCAGCCGCGGUAAUAC
rnacentral:rRNA from 1 species